rnacentral:rRNA from 1 species
CGCUGGCGGCGUGCUUAACACAUGCAAGUCGAACGAUGAAGCCUAGCUUGCUAGGUGGAUUAGUGGCGAACGGGUGAGUAAUACGUGAGUAACCUACCUUUAACUCUGGGAUAAGCCUGGGAAACUGGGUCUAAUACCGGAUACGACCAAUCUCCGCAUGGGGUGUUGGUGGAAAGCGUUAUGUAGUGGUUAUAGAUGGGCUCACGGCCUAUCAGCUUGUUGGUGAGGUAACGGCUCACCAAGGCGACGACGGGUAGCCGGCCUGAGAGGGUGACCGGCCACACUGGGACUGAGACACGGCCCAGACUCCUACGGGAGGCAGCAGUGGGGAAUAUUGCACAAUGGGCGCAAGCCUGAUGCAGCGACGCCGCGUGAGGGAUGACGGCCUUCGGGUUGUAAACCUCUGUUAGCAGGGAAGAAGAGAAAUUGACGGUACCUGCAGAGAAAGCGCCGGCUAACUACGUGCCAGCAGCCGCGGUAAUACGUAGGCGCGAGCGUUGUCCGGAAUUAUUGGGCGUAAAGAGCUUGUANGCGGUUUGUCGCGUCUGCUGUGAAGGCCGGGGCUUAACCCCGUGUAUUGCAGUGGGUACGGGCAGACUAGAGUGCAGUAGGGGAGACUGGAACUCCUGGUGUAGCGGUGGAAUGCGCAGAUAUCAGGAAGAACACCGAUGGCGAAGGCAGGUCUCUGGGCUGUAACUGACGCUGAGAAGCGAAAGCAUGGGGAGCGAACAGGAUUAGAUACCCUGGUAGUCCAUGCCGUAAACGUUGGGCACUAGGUGUGGGGGACAUUCCACGUUUUCCGCGCCGUAGCUAACGCAUUAAGUGCCCCGCCUGGGGAGUACGGCCGCAAGGCUAAAACUCAAAGAAAUUGACGGGGGCCCGCACAAGCGGCGGAGCAUGCGGAUUAAUUCGAUGCAACGCGAAGAACCUUACCAAGGCUUGACAUAUACUGGACCGCAUCAGAGAUGGUGUUUCCCUUCGGGGCUGGUAUACAGGUGGUGCAUGGUUGUCGUCAGCUCGUGUCGUGAGAUGUUGGGUUAAGUCCCGCAACGAGCGCAACCCUCGUUCUAUGUUGCCAGCACGUUAUGGUGGGGACUCAUAGGAGACUGCCGGGGUCAACUCGGAGGAAGGUGGGGAUGACGUCAAAUCAUCAUGCCCCUUAUGUCUUGGGCUUCACGCAUGCUACAAUGGCCGGUACAGAGGGUUGCGAUACUGUGAGGUGGAGCUAAUCCCUAAAAGCCGGUCUCAGUUCGGAUUGGGGUCUGCAACUCGACCCCAUGAAGUCGGAGUCGCUAGUAAUCGCAGAUCAGCAACGCUGCGGUGAAUACGUUCCCGGGCCU